rnacentral:misc_RNA from 1 species
CUUCUUCUUCUUCCCUUUUUUUUCCUUCCAAUUACUGUUCCUUUUUCUAAUUUUUUCAAAAAAAUGUACUUGAGUUUAUUUGAAACCAACAUUUCAGCUCAUGUCAUCCAAUUUUCUUAGUCCUGGAAUGAAGUUACCAAUGAGAAUCUGGUGUCUGAUAACAAAGUUAUCACUUGCAUAAAUAUUAAAUUAAAAUGAUUGCAAUGCAGUUGAUGAAAUGUUCUGAUCACAUUUUCAAAACUCUGUAUUAUCAUGUGUGCCCUUUGGGUAUGUUUAUUGAUUUCCUACAAUAUAAAUGGUGAAAUAGCUCGAGUUAAGUAUAUGUUAACAACAAUUUUUUAUUUGUAUUAACCCUUUAUACAAAGCUAUUGCCAGUUAUCCUCAGUUUUCAAUGCUUGUUAUUUUUUAUCUUCCACGCUUAACUGGAUUUAUCUCACAUUUGACUUUGUCUUUAGGUCACUGAGAAUGGCAAACAAGA